UACGUAGGGGGCAAGCGUUGUCCGGAAUCAUUGGGCGUAAAGAGCGUGUAGGCGGCUCGGUAAGUCCGCUGUGAAAGUCCAGGGCUCAACCCUGGAAUGCCGGUGGAAACUGUCGAGCUAGAGUGCGGUAGGGGAGACUGGAAUUCCUGGUGUAGCGGUGAAAUGCGCAGAUAUCAGGAGGAACACCGGUGGCGAAGGCGGGUCUCUGGGCCGUAACUGACGCUGAGGAGCGGAAAGCAUGGGGAGCGAACAGG
rnacentral:rRNA from 1 species